GGGGUUGGUCAUCCACGAGAAGUUUCACGUGGACGUGGACGGCCACGUCAUACGUCAUUACCCGAUCCUUCUCCUCGAGCAAGCCCAUAUGUUCCUGCCGAUAACCGUCGAACACGUAUGGCUAGAAACAGGAACAGAGGUCUGGAGCAAAACGAAGAAUAGACUUUACCGAGGAUGAUGCCAACAAAUCUAUCAGAUCAAAGGAACAUGAACAUAGUCCUUCCAAAGAAUACAAGAAAGACAAAACAGACAACAAAGAUCCAACAACCAAUUAUGGACAGCACGAGUAAGCCAAACAUGCAUACCAUAUAGGUA